AACUACCGUAAAAUGGGGCGAUUAGGGACAAAUUCCAACUUUAUGAGCAAUUUUAAGGUAGUUGUUGAUGUAUAUAAUGCUACAUCAGGAUCAAAAUGAUUGAGUCUUGGGGGCAUCUUUGUUGUCUAAUUUAAAAUUAUGCAACUAGCAUUCCAGUUUAAGCAAAAAAUGCAAAAAUAGGUGUAAUCCCUAUUUACCCGAAAAUUGCGGUUAAUUGGGACGAAAUGAGAAAUUUGCUAGGGUUGGCACUACUUUUAUUUUUAUAUAUAGUUUUAAUUUAUUUAUUUAUUUAGUUGCACCAACAAAGUGAUCAUCAAUAAAAAAAAUUGAAAAACUGACAAAAGUACAUGGCAGACAUCACCUCAACUAUAGGUGCAAUCGACAGGGCUGAUAUUUCUAUCUGGGUUAAGAGAUUAGGUGUGUCGGUUAUUCCAUGGAUUAAUCAGAUGAAUACCCCCACUCUGAACAAAUAUUAAAUAUUUUAUUAUGUAUUUAUUACUUAGACAUUUUUGUCCACCUUGAGAUUUCAUUGAUCUUGUUACAUGUCUCUGCAAAAUCGACUUACUUAUAUUAGAUUGCUUAUCUAUUUCAACUAAAGACUUAUUCCCAAUUUCGCUUCGAUAAACCAGAUUUUACCAACAAAUUUAAAAAAUAUUGUUAUAACUACAUAGACAACCCUACAAACCUGUACCUAUUUAUACUUAGGUCGUUUCCAUUUCACGUAUUCUCAUCCCAAUUGACCCCUUUUUCGUUGUUAUUUGUACCUAAGACGUCCCCAAUAUCCCCAAAAACAACAGAUUUUUACAUGUAUUUUUAUUUAAUCAAAUACAUUAAAACCAAUAACAACUGAGACUUACCUUUAAUAUAUAUGCUGGUUCAAACACUAAAUAACGUUUAUAAAUCAUAGUCGUCUUCUAUUA